UGAGAGAUAUCAAUUUCUAUAUGCUCAGGAGAAAAUAUAGUUUAUUUGGAUAUUUUCAUAUCGAUUUAUGGAAUGUUAGAUGAUUUUAUAAUCGAUUUACGGAUUUAAUUGCGUAUAUUUAUAUUUAUUUAUUAAUUAUUUGACUUCCGUAAAACCGUCCACUCGUAACGGUGUAGCAAAUUUUCUUCCUGGAAGUUUCAACAAAACUCACCUUUAGCCUAAUUUGAAUAUUCCGGACAUUUUUCGUGUUUUGACUUUUUCAAUCCGGAGUACGGUUUUCCCCGGAGUCGGUCCGGCGGAGUUUUUCGGGUAUUUUAAUUGUUGAUAAUUAUCUAGUUUGCCUCGAAAUACGUGAAAGCUAGAUAUUUUGAUUAUUAUAUUACUUUUUAUCGAAAUACGUGCAAAUGGGACCCCCAGACCAAUGAUUGAUUUAAAAUGCCCCAUUUUGAUGAUUAUCUUGAAAACCAGUACCGAUUGGACCCUGCUUUAUUAAUAUAAAGCUACUAAAUAUGUAUUUUCAUGUCAUAAACGAUCUAAAGGGGUACCAAUUAUUUGUAAAUAUAAAUAGACCUUUCUAGAGCUUAUUUUCACCCGUAAAAUCAUUUCACCAGUUUCUUUCCACGAAUACCGAGAGAAAUCGAGCGGUGUUCUUCGUGUUCUUCAUAAUCAAACGAAGAUUUGAAGGUGUUAUUGGAGUCAGAAUCAAGCGUGCAAAUAGUCAAAUCGAAGAUAUCGAAGAGUAGAACCCAAAUCAAUCAUCAAAAACAACAUGAGAUUCACAGGAUUUGGACGAGACGUGGAUGACCGAAGAAGUUCAGAAGGACAAGUGGUGUUCCAAAGCGAAUAAAGAAUGAGUCGAGUAAGCGAAGUGGUGUGGCGAAUAGGGUAUAGCCAGAGAUGGUCUAGAGACUAUGAUAUGCAUAGAGUAUGAGAUUGGAAAGAUGAGAUAGAGAUGUGAGACUGGAGUCAGAUUUAAGAAAGGCUUAAAGAUGAGAUGAUUGAUUGAGAUUGUGAGUAAGGCUAAUGCUAGGCGAGGAGACAGAGUUGAGGAUCCAGUGGUCGAGGAGUGUUCAGGAAAGUUGAUGAGGUUGGUGCAAGCUGGAAUAGUUGACAGUGAUUCUUCUUAUCGAAGAUGAUCUGAUUUGGUAAGAGAAGUUGUGUAAUAUUAGUGGUGGAUUCUAAUUUCAAUACUGUAACCUGGAUGCGAUCCUGUUGCUUUUAGGGGGUUUAAAUGUUCUCUUUCGAAUCAUUUAUUAAAGUUUAAAUGUUCUCUUGAAAUUCUCCUAUUAUGGCUUUCAAGUUUGAAAUUCAGGUUUUGAAAUCAUUCGAUUUAUGUUCUCAUUCAAAUCUUUUAUUAAAUGUUUUCAGGUUUUAAAUUCUUUGGUUUUAUUAUCUUUAUAAAAAAAAAUACAGGUUUUCAAAGUGUUUUAAAAUGGUUUUUGUGUGGUGACGUCAGAAUCCAGGCCCCCGGAUUCCUGGACCGUCACAGUUGGUAUCAGAGCCACAGGCUAUAAGUAUUUGAAAUUAGAAUAUAGAUCAUAGUUAUAGGUUUUCUAGAGAAGAAUGCGGUGUAACCUCACAUAGAGAUAUGGUUGGACUAUUUAGGAAUAGUCUAGAGAUGUGAGUGAAGAAUAGAGUUUAGUUAGUUGAUCAAGUUAAGUGUGGAUAUUUAAAGAGAUUAGGAUUCUUAAGUUUAGACAUAUGAUUUCUAGUAUGUUGAUUAAUUGAGAUGGUGAAUUGUGGAAAAGGUCAGUAUUAGACCUAUAUAGAAGAGUGUGAUAGUGAAUGAUUGAGUUGAGAAUGGUGAAAAUGCAGAGUUCAGAGUAUUCUGACUAUACUGCAUAUUUGAAAUUGGAUUAUUGUAUUGAUUUGAGAAUGAUAAAGAUGCAUGGUUCAUAGUAUGUUGACCAUGUCAGAUAUUUGGAAGAGGUAUAUGGUGUUAGUGAGAUAUGAAGAGUUAGUGUAAGAUAUGAGUUGUACUGAAUUAGGAGGAGAGAUUUGUAGAUAGAAGUUGAUAGAUGAGAAGUGCAUGAUAGGGAGUAUAUGGAGUUGAGUCCAGUUGUUAGAGGUGAUGUGUGCAAGUAAGUUAGAACGUUAAUUCUCGACGACGAUGUUUUAAGUUAAGUGGGACAAGGUGGGCCCAUAACCCACAGGGCGACGAUUCAGAAAAUCGAAGAUAUGCUACGUGUUGUGUUAUGGACUUCAAAGGCAACUGGAUGAAGCAUGAGAACGUGAACUACUUGGGCCAGACUUAUUACGAACGAUAACGUCUACGAUGACAUAUUACGAGGCUAUUACGAGUCAAAUCGAUUGAUUAUCGAGAACGUUGAAAAGAUGACAUAAAUCGAAUAAACGAUUUUGUAAAGUAGAGUGAGAAUUUGAGAAGACCUUGGCAAUACCUCUCUUCAACUAAAGAUUCUUUUGAUUGUUUUCUCAUCAGUGAGAUAUUAUCAUGAUAUCUUUUCUACAAAAGUUUUGAUAAAUGAGAUCUUCAAUUUCUCAAAUUCUAAGAUGACAUUGAUAUUGAUUAUUGGUAUGAGUUGGAAAGCAAAGAUGUGUGAUAAAGGUUUGUUGUGAAGAGAUAGUGAUGUUCCUUGAUAUUGUUUGACAUUUCUUGACAUUCCUUGAUACCCUUUCAUCUACCUUGAUAUCCCUUAGUGUUCUUUGAUAUUGUUGAUAUUCCUUGAUAUUCUCUGGUAUUCCUUAACAUUUCUUCAAUUUGAUUGGGAUGAACAACCCUAUUUAUAGGGGACACAAGGUAUACCUGUCUGUGUGAUAGGAGUUGGAUGGGACGCCAUCACUUGUGUGUGUUGUGAUUACAAGAAGGUUAAAAACCUUUAGUAGUGUCUAAUAUGGACACGCAACAUGAAGUUCAUUUGAUCGUAUUGAUCUCCCAGUCACUCUUGUAUUCCAAUGUGACCUAUUUUGAAAAUAUCUGGUUCCUCCGAAAUUCCCAAAGAUUGAUUCUUGGGAAAUGAAGUUUGCAAGUGUGAAGGUUUUGAUUCUCCUAUUUCUUUAACUUUGAAGGUAUGCCAAAGUUGAUCAAAGGCAGAUGAGCAUGUGAUAUUAUGAAGCGUGUAUAAUGAUCUUAUAAAUGAUACGUUUUAGUUCUCAUCGCGGAUUCUGAGGACAGAAUCCUAAUAAGGGGGGUAGAAUGUAAUAUCCCAUAUUAUUAAAAUUUAGAUUUGAUUAUUGUAAAUCUAUUUGUCUAAAUAUUGUUGUUGGCUUUAAUUGAAAAGUGAAUUGACUAUGUGAAUAGUUCUAUGUGAUGAUACUUGUUCUAUGGAUUAAUAUGGAUUAUACUGAUUAUGCGUCCUCCUUCUAUUUCUGAUUCCGAGGACGGAAUCCCUAUAAGGAGGGUAGAUUGUAAUGACCCGGAUUUUUAAAAAUAUUUUUAUUAGUAUUAAAAGUGAUUUUCUUCAAAGAAGGGAAUAAGAUUUAAUAUUUUAUUACAGUUUAAUGAGUUUUCAAGGUUUUAUAUUUAAACCCCGGGUUAUUGUGUUAUUGAUAAAUAAUUGUACUUUCAAAACUGAUUUUCAUAUAUUGUUUUGAAAAUUCUGUAUGAAUAUUAUGUGAAUAUAUGUGUGAUGUGAGUAAGUGGUAUUGGUGGAUUUGUUGGUUAAUUAAUUUUGGUUAAUUAUGAGUAUUAUAUGAUUAAUAUAUGAAUUUUUGUGAAUUUUAUAUUAUCUGGUUUAUUGCGUUAACUGCUCAUAUGUGUUCGUAUUUGAGAGAUUUCAAUUUCUAUAUGCUCAGGAGAAAAUAUAGUUUAUUUGGAUAUUUUCAUAUCGAUUUAUGGAAUGUUAGAUGAUUUUAUAAUCGAUUUACGGAUUUAAUUGCGUAUAUUUAUAUUUAUUUAUUAAUUAUUUGACUUCCGUAAAACCGUCCACUCGUAACGGUGUAGCAAAUUUUCUUCCUGGAAGUUUCAACAAAACUCACCUUUAGCCUAAUUUGAAUAUUCCGGACAUUUUUCGUGUUUUGACUUUUUCAAUCCGGAGUACGGUUUUCCCCGGAGUCGGUCCGGCGGAGUUUUUCGGGUAUUUUAAUUGUUGAUAAUUAUCUAGUUUGCCUCGAAAUACGUGAAAGCUAGAUAUUUUGAUUAUUAUAUUACUUUUUAUCGAAAUACGUGCAAAUGGGACCCCCAGACCAAUGAUUGAUUUAAAAUGCCCCGUUUUGAUGAUUAUCUUGAAAACCAGUACCGAUUGGACCCUGCUUUAUUAAUAUAAAGCUACUAAAUAUGUAUUUUCAUGUCAUAAACGAUCUAAAGGGGUACCAAUUAUUUGUAAAUAUAAAUAGACCUUUCUAGAGCUUAUUUUCACCCGUAAAAUCAUUUCACCAGUUUCUUUCCACGAAUACCGAGAGAAAUCGAGCGGUGUUCUUCGUGUUCUUCAUAAUCAAACGAAGAUUUGAAGGUGUUAUUGGAGUCAGAAUCAAGCGUGCAAAUAGUCAAAUCGAAGAUAUCGAAGAGUAGAACCCAAAUCAAUCAUCAAAAACAACAUGAGAUUCACAGAAAGGCUUAAAGAUGAGAUGAUUGAUUGAGAUUGUGAGUAAGGCUAAUGCUAGGCGAGGAGACAGAGUUGAGGAUCCAGUGGUCGAGGAGUGUUCAGGAAAGUUGAUGAGGUUGGUGCAAGCUGGAAUAGUUGACAGUGAUUCUUCUUAUCGAAGAUGAUCUGAUUUGGUAAGAGAAGUUGUGUAAUAUUAGUGGUGGAUUCUAAUUUCAAUACUGUAACCUGGAUGCGAUCCUGUUGCUUUUAGGGGGUUUAAAUGUUCUCUUUCGAAUCAUUUAUUAAAGUUUAAAUGUUCUCUUGAAAUUCUCC